CUAGCAGCAGAUCACGCCUCA
rnacentral:siRNA from 1 species